AGCUUCCAGUCAGCAUUUUCAUCUGACAGUUCGAUGAGGGCAUCUACGCAGAGUCCCCUGAAAGGAAACACAGAGGCUUGUUCAGCACAGGGCUGUGCUAGGCCAGUCCCUGCUCUGCUGUCUUCAGAGUGCAGGGAUGAUUUAUUUCUGAACGGAAUCCAAAUCUGGCACAUUUCUCAGCCAUCACCUGGCUCCAACAGAGAGAAGGAAAGAGUGAGAAGAACUGUUGCAGACAUCUCUCUCCCUCUCUCUCUGCAACCAUGGAAUUUUUUUCCUGUCUGGUUGGGAAGGCUUUGGAUACCGACUCCCAUGGCUUGACUUUCAAAAACAAACAAACAAAAAUAAAGUCACGUCUCCAUUUGGUGAUUAUGAGAACCCAGAGAGAUGCUGCUUCAGGGAAAGCAUCCCCUCUUCUGAGUCACUCCAGAAAAGCAGUGAUUUAAUGAGGCAGCUCCCAGUCUGAACUGCACCAGGGCUGCAAAUGCCGUUCCUGCUCUGCUCCACUCUCAAACACUCGGUCCUGCUCCAUUGCUCCCCAUCCUUCAGAUGCCCGUGCCUGCCUCCUGAGACACACAACGAGUGCUGCAGCUGUCAGCAGAGGAGGAUAUCAUUGCCCUGCUGGCCCCAUCCAAACCCAGCUAGGCAAGCUAAUGGGCAUCGGGAGGUUUGCAUGCAGAAGCUUAAAUGGGAGGCUGAUAUGUGCACUACAGAGAUACACAGGCUUGCCUGGAGAAGCAGAGUGCACCCAGGACUCGUGCAGGGACAACACGGCACUGCCUCCAGCCGGGGAGCAGGUGCCUGGGUCUUCCCAGCUCUCCUCCCGUGAUGAGUAAUUGCAAGAGACACUGCCACCACCUCUACACACACCCAGAGGUGACAACCUGCAGAGACAUAAAGGACCUGAGUACAUCACUGCAGUCACUUAAACACGGGGCUUUUGAACUCCACUAGCCUAUCUUGCCCCAAACCAGCAACAAGUGCCAGCCACAUGUGAUGAGGACAAUCUGAGCACUUGCUCAUGUCACCUUUCAUCCUGCCCUGGAGACAGUGACAAGGCAUCAGAGACUUGCUAUGAGCUUCAGUAAUGCCCUGGGCUAGAAGGAGAGGGCUCCAAGCCCUGCUAGUGACCCAGAGGCUCUCCAUGCCUCCUGCAGCCUGCGUUCCUAGAAGAGGGAUCACUGCUUGAAUCACCUCCAGCAGCAUGAACUAUUCUCUAAUACUUCCUGAGCCCUUCCCAGGACGUUUUUCUUUUUGCCCUGUGGCCUGGCUGGGCCGCAUUUCAGAGAUGAAAGGCUGUGAGCGCACACAGAUGCCGGCAUCCUUACGCAUUCCUGGCUCGAAAGCUUUCCUCGAAGCAGCUGCACUGCCAGGGAGCAGCAGCUGCCUCCCAGCCCAGAAGAGAGGGCUGCAAACCCCAGCUUGCCAGGUAUGCUGCAAGAUCCCAGCACAAACCCCUCUGGCUUUGGGACCAGCUGUGACCCCCUCGGGCCCCCAACUAGCUCAGCAGAAACCAAGACAGCUUUCUUGCUUUCCCUGAGAGUUACAACUGCCUUAAGGAGACACAGUGCAAAAUGUAGAGGCCAUGAUGCUAUCAGCACGCAAACUUGCUCAAUAAAAACAUGUGU